rnacentral:rRNA from 1 species
CAGCAGCCGCGGUAAUACGAAGGGGGCUAGCGUUGCUCGGAAUUACUGGGCGUAAAGGGAGCGUAGGCGGAUAUUUAAGUCGGGGGUGAAAGCCCAGGGCUCAACCCUGGAAUUGCCUUCGAUACUGGAUAUCUAGAGUAUGGGAGAGGUGUGUGGAACUCCGAGUGUAGAGGUGAAAUUCGUAGAUAUUCGGAAGAACACCAGUGGCGAAGGCGACACACUGGCCCAUUACUGACGCUGAGGCUCGAAAGCGUGGGGAGCAAACAGGAUUAGAUACCCUGGUAGUCCACGCUGUAAACGAUGAGUGCUAGUUGUCGGCAUGCAUGCAUGUCGGUGACGCAGCUAACGCAUUAAGCACUCCGCCUGGGGAGUACGGUCGCAAGAUUAAAACUCAAAGGAAUUGACGG